rnacentral:rRNA from 1 species
CGCGCAGGCGGCGGUGCUGGCCCGGCGUGAAAGCCCCCGGCUCAACCGGGGAGGGUCGUCGGGGACCGCACCGCUUGAGGGCGGUAGGGGCUGGUGGAAUGCCUGGUGUAGUGGUGAAAUGCGUAGAGAUCAGGCGGAACACCCGUGGCGAAGGCGGCCAGCUGGGCCGUCCCUGACGCUGAGGCGCGAAGGCGUGGGGAGCGAACGGGAUUAGAUACCCCGGUAGUCCACGCAGUAAACGAUGCCGACUAGGCGUGGGGGGAGUUGACCCCCUCCGUGCCGGAGCCAACGCGGGAAGUCGGCCGCCUGGGGAGUACGGCCGCAAGGCUAAA